rnacentral:rRNA from 1 species
CCUGCCCAAGAGAUCGGGAUAACACCUGAAACAGAUGCUAAUACCGGAUAACAACAGAUGAUGCCUAUCAACUGUUUAAAAGAUGGUUCUGCUAUCACUCUUGGAUGGACCUGCGAUGCAUUAGCUAGUUGGUAGGGUAACGGCCUACCAAGGCGAUGAUGCAUAGCCGAGUUGAGAGACUGAUCGGCCACAUUGGGACUGAGACACGGCCCAAACUCCUACGGGAGGCAGCAGAU